rnacentral:rRNA from 1 species
AGCGAACGCUGGCGGCAGGCCUAACACAUGCAAGUCGAACGAAGUCUUCGGACUUAGUGGCGGACGGGUGAGUAACACGUGGGAACGUGCCUUUAGGUUCGGAAUAACUCAGGGAAACUUGUGCUAAUACCGAAUGUGCCCUUCGGGGGAAAGAUUUAUCGCCUUUAGAGCGGCCCGCGUCUGAUUAGCUAGUUGGUGAGGUAAUGGCUCACCAAGGCUACGAUCAGUAGCUGGUCUGAGAGGAUGAUCAGCCACAUUGGGACUGAGACACGGCCCAAACUCCUACGGGAGGCAGCAGUGGGGAAUCUUGCGCAAUGGGCGAAAGCCUGACGCAGCCAUGCCGCGUGAAUGAUGAAGGUCUUAGGAUUGUAAAAUUCUUUCACCGGGGACGAUAAUGACGGUACCCGGAGAAGAAGCCCCGGCUAACUUCGUGCCAGCAGCCGCCGUAAAAC